ensembl:miRNA
UUACCUGAGGAUCUUGUUAUAAUGCAGAUUCUGGUUCAGGUCUGAAGCCAGGCCCAACAUUCUGCAUUUCUAACAAGCUCCCAGCUGACACCAAU